GCGGGCAUGGCGGAAUUGGCAGACGCGCCAGAUUUAGGUUCUGGUGGGAGACCGUGCAGGUUCAAGUCCUGUUGCCCGCA
rnacentral:tRNA from 5 species